UUUUUUUGAGGACUGUAGGUCUAAAAGUUAAGAGUUCCCACUUGGUCACUGUGUCUAGCUAGAGACCAACUACACCUCGCUGACAGGGCCCACGAAAUGUGUCUAGGGGCAGUCUCAGUAGUAGUAGUUUGGCAGCUGUGAAUGCAGAUUCAGCACAAGGAAACAAACAGACACCCAAGCAGAAGAAGAAACACUGAACUGAGUAGGAAAUGGCAUGCCCCGUAUGACCAAACCCACCUGACUCUGGCACAGCCACAAAGAACAUGCCUACCUUUACCUAUAUGCGCCACGGCUCCUUAAAGGAAACAGGAAAAGGAGGAUGAGCUCCGACGCACUCAGCGCUGGAACAGUCAGUCAGAUGCCUGGGCUGAGUUUUGCAGCUGUGCUGUUGACAGAAUGAGAGAAGCACAACCAGAGCACGAGGUUAUACAGACAAUAAUCUGCACGUGGAAUGCCCUUUCUGUCUACAAACUGCGUUGUUUACUGUUGGGAUCCAAAAAUAGCAGUCUCACCAUACUGGAAUCUGAAUGGUCACGGAUGUUGUCCAUGAGAGUAAAUAGGACAUUUAGUAAAAUUAUCUGUGGGCAGUAAGUGGGAACUUUAUGUAAUAUGUCAGAGAGCCAACCAUUUUUGCAUUUAAAAUAACUAAAAACAGUAAUGGAUUUUUAGAUUUAU